UCAAAACAGCGGACUUCGGGCCUUGCUGCACCCUUGUCCUUUUGCGCACCGUAUUGUUUCCUCGGCGGGCUUGCCUGCCGGUUGGACAUUAUCAAAACCUCUUUUGUAGUUGCAAUCAGCGUCAGAAAAACAAUAAUUAUUA
rnacentral:misc_RNA from 1 species